CUACGGAGGGUGCAAGCGUUAUUCGGAAUCACUGGGCGUAAAGGACGCGUAGGCGGGUUGGCAAGUCAGAUGUGAAAUCCUACAGCUUAACUGUAGAACUGCAUUUGAAACUGCUAACCUAGAGUAUGGGAGGGGGAGAUGGAAUUAGUGGUGUAGGGGUAAAAUCCGUAGAUAUCAAUAGGAAUACCGAAAGCGAAGGCGAUCUCCUGGAACAUAACUGACGCUAAGGCGUGAAAGCGUGGGGAGCAAACAGGAUUAGAAACCCUAGUAGUCC
rnacentral:rRNA from 1 species